rfam:Populus trichocarpa scaffold_8_contig_185, whole genome shotgun sequence.
GACUCUCGGCAACGGAUAUCUCGGCUCUCGCAUCGAUGAAGAACGUAGCGAAAUGCGAUACUUGGUGUGAAUUGCAGAAUCCCGUGAACCAUCGAGUCUUUGAACGCAAGUUGCGCCCGAGGCCUCUUGGUCGAGGGCACGUCUGCCUGGGUGUCA